AUGGAGGGGGAUAACUACUGGAAACGGUAGCUAAUACCGCAUAACGUCACAAGACCAAAGAGGGGGACCUUCGGGCCUCUUGCCAUCGGAUGUGCCCAGAUGGGAUUAGCUAGUAGGUGGGGUAACGGCUCACCUAGGCGACGAUCCCUAGCUGGUCUGAGAGGAUGACCAGCCACACUGGAACUGAGACACGGUCCAGACUCCUACGGGAGGCGGCAGUGGGGAAUAUUGCACAAUGGGCGCAAGCCUGAUGCAGCCAUGCCGCGUGUAUGAAGAAGGCCUUCGGGUUGUAAAGUACUUUCAGCGGGGAGGAAGGGAGUAAAGUUAAUACCUUUGCUCAUUGACGUUACCCGCAGAAGAAGCACCGGCUAACUCCGUGCCAGCAGCCGCGGUAAUACGGAGGGUGCAAGCGUUAAUCGGAAUUACUGGGCGUAAAGCGCACGCAGGCGGUUUGUUAAGUCAGAUGUG
rnacentral:rRNA from 1 species